rnacentral:tRNA from 1 species
GGAGAGAUGGCAGAGCGGUUGAAUGUACCUGACUCGAAAUCAGGAGUGCGUGUAAGCGCACCGGGGGUUCGAAUCCCCCUCUCUCCGCCA